rnacentral:rRNA from 1 species
UGGCAGGUGAGAUGUGAAAGCCCACGGCUCAACCGUGGAAUUGCGUUUCAAACCGUCAGGCUUGAGGAAGACAGGGGUGUCGGGAACUUAUGGUGGAGCGGUGAAAUGCGUUGAUAUCAUAGGGAACACCGGUGGCGAAAGCGGCUCACUGGGUCUCUUCUGACGCUGAGGCACGAAAGCUAAGGUAGCAAACGGGAUUAGAUACCCCGGUAGUCUUAGCUGUAAACGAUGAGCACUUGAUUGGAGGGUCCUCCAUAGCCUUCCAGUCGUAGCGAAAGUGUUAAGUGCUCCGCCUGGGGAGUAUGGUCGCAAGGCUGAAACUCAAAGAAAUUGACGGGGGCUCACACAAGCGGUGGAGGAUGUGGCUUAAUUCGAGGCUACGCGAAGAACCUUAUCCUAGUCUUGACAUGUAUGGAUUAACCCUGUGAAAGCAGGGCCACGCCUUCGGGUGGAACAUACACAGGUGCUGCAUGGCU